rnacentral:snRNA from 1 species
GUGCUACCUUCAGGAGCACAUGUACUACAGCUAGAAUGUUAUAGAGAUGAUCAGCAAGUCUCUUGUACAAGGAAGACCCCCAAAUUUGUAAAAUGUUCCAUAUUUUC